GAGGAAUAUUGGUCAAUGGAUGCAAAUCUGAACCAGCCAAGUAGCGUGCAGGAUGACGGCCCUAUGGGUUGUAAACUGCUUUUAUGUGAGAAUAAAGUUAGGUAUGUAUACUUAUUUGCAUGUAUCACAUGAAUAAGGACCGGCUAAUUCCGUGCCAGCAGCCGCGGUAAUACGGAAGGUCCAGGCGUUAUCCGGAUUUAUUGGGUUUAAAGGGUGCGUAGGCCGUUUGAUAAGCGUGCUGUGAAAUAUAGUGGCUCAACCUCUAUCGUGCAGCGCGAACUGUCGAACUUGAGUGCGUAGUAGGUAGGCGGAAUUCGUGGUGUAGCGGUGAAAUGCUUAGAUAUCACGAAGAACUCCGAUUGCGAAGGCAGCUUACCGUAACGUUACUGACGCUUAAGCACGAAGGUGCGGGUAUCGAACAGGAUUAGAUACCCUGGUAGUCCGCACAGUAAACGAUGGAUGCUCGCUGUUGGCCUUUAAUGGUCAGUGGCUUAGCGAAAGCGUUAAGCAUCCCACCUGGGGAGUACGCCGGCAACGGUG
rnacentral:rRNA from 1 species